GGGGGGGGGGGGGGGGGAGGCUCGGCUGUGCAGCAGCACAAACCUCCCCCACAAAUGGGAUGUUAUCAGGAGAAUGGGGAGGUCGCUCUGCUGCUGGUGCCUCAACAUUGUUAGGAAGGAGACAGCAGAAUGUGCUCUGGAGGCAAAACGCAGACUUCUAGAGAGACUUUAAAUCCCCAGAGGAAGGCGAGGGGGCUACCUGUGCAUCUGAAGCCAUCAAUCCUGCAAACCACCCUGCUGGCCACUGGACGUGGCAUCUGACUUGUGCAGAAACAUUUCUGAACUUCCCAGGCACCUGUGAACCACGCUGGCAGGAAGCAUUAACGAGUCUCAUUUCCCUUCUGGUGGGUGCACCUGAGGGAAGCCUACGGGGCAGCUGGUUGUAGAAGAAGCCAAAAACAGAAGCUUACAGCAAAUCAUAAAGCCCCCGGGAUACUGUCCUAUUUAAAUAGAUUACCUGUUUCCAAACAUUCA